GAUGGGGAUGAUGAUGAGGAUGGUGAGGAUGAAGAGGAAGAAGAAGAGGACGAGGAAGAGGAAGAGGAUCAACCACCAGCUAAGAAGAGGAAAUGAAGUAGUAGAUGUUAAUUCUAUGCCUUUUUCUUGGUUGGGAGUAUGUACAAUUAUGAGGGAGGUUUAGCUUGUUUGUCUUCAUGAAGUAGGAAAUCGGCAGCCCUGUUUAGAUUGAACUCCUUAUCAUAAUGUGACCGUAUGUUUUAUGUUCCCUUUUAUGGAUCUUUAUCAGUUGUACUAUUUUUACGUGAUUUUUGCAUUUAAAUAAGAAAGAUGGCUUCUUUAUCAGCUAACA
rnacentral:lncRNA from 1 species